UGGGGUAUCGUCUAAUGGUAGGACAUCUGCCUCUGGAGCAGAGAGUUGAGGUUCGAAUCCUUGUACCCCAGCCA
rnacentral:tRNA from 1 species